CCUUGGGUGUUCUUCCUCUUCCUCUUCCUCUUCCUCGUUGUCUGCCCUUUGUCUGACCUUUGUCCUUUUCCACACCUAUGCCUUAACUUGAAGGCAUACAAAGUAACAUGACCUCAAUAUCUGGAAUUAUGGGUUCAUUCUCAUAAAAAGCAUUUAUAUCAUUUUCUAUUGUA
rnacentral:miRNA from 1 species